AUUUUAUUUCAGUUGCUUUCACAAUCCCUUCUCACUACUACUUUCAGUUUUCAUUUUGUUGAAGAUUCCGAUUCCGGAGGCAACCGCCACCAAAGUCCCAUGGUCACCGUCUUGCGCCUCUACUUGACCUGCACUCUCGACGCCGUUAUGUAACUCCAGAACUUCACUUUGUCAAGAAGUUGAAAGGCAUAUCAAGCCUGAGAUUGAAUAAGGUAGCUCUCGCAUACUUAAAGUGAGCUCGAUACAUUAAAGUGGAGCAAGUAUGAACAAGAAAGUGAGCUUAACUACUAUAGUAUUAUAGAAGAAAAUUCCUCUAAAUGUUGUGAUAUGAUGAAUCAAUAAAAUAGUUAGGUUUCGUCACUUUAAUUAUUAGAUUUGAGAAAUUACAAUACACUUUUGUUUAGAAAUUAAUAGACUUAAUUAUUAAGCUGAUAGGUUUCUAUGUGUUCC